rnacentral:tRNA from 6 species
GCAGCUAUGGCCGAGUGGUCUAAGGCGGUGGACUUAAGACCCACUGGGAAACCGCGUGAGUUCGAACCUCACUGGCUGCA